rnacentral:lncRNA from 1 species
AGGACAUAAUGAAUGAUGAAUGGAUGAGGAUGGAUAGUAAAACUUCUUAGAAGGUUCACUUCUUGAAAUCAUAUAGCAGAUGAUUCAAGUGUGUCCUUUGGAAUAGCAAUGGAUAAUAACAAACAAGCAAAGCAAGCAAAAGCGGAUAUCGGAUGCCAAUCAAUGGUCUUAUACCAAUCUCCUAAAACAAAACGGGAUAUCAGAUGC